UACAGAGGUCCCAAGCGUUGUUCGGAUUCAUUGGGCGUAAAGGGUGCGUAGGCGGCGCGGUAAGUCGGGUGUGAAAUCUCGGAGCUUAACUCCGAAACUGCAUUCGAUACUGCCGUGCUUGAGGACUGGAGAGGAGACUGGAAUUUACGGUGUAGCAGUGAAAUGCGUAGAGAUCAUGAGGAAGACCAGUGGCGAAGGCGGGUCGUCUGGACAGUUCCUGACACUGAGACACGAAGGCCAGGGGAGCAAACGGG
rnacentral:rRNA from 1 species